UCACACUGCAUCAGAUUCUAUUCGGCAUUUAUUCGUUGUAGACUGUUGUAAAUGGAAGGGAUCACCCCUCCCCCACUAUGAGAGACAUUGAUUGAAGGGAAGUGAUUAUUGGGCGAGGGGCUUUGAGCAGCCUUGAUUGCUGAUGGGUGCUCAAGCGUUACAGGGAAGCAGGAUGAGGAGAUGGAGAUGUCUGAAUGAAUCAAUUAGCCAUGUAGCUGUGUGAGUUGAAGAGGCAGGCGUCCUACAGGGAUUGAGAAAGAGCAAAUACCUGCGAUUUUUGUCUCAUUAACAGUCUGGACAGGCGAAAACAGGGCUGAAAUGACUGAAAUUGCGAAGAGGUUGAAUGUAAUCUGUGCACAACUCAUUCCAUUCCUUUCACAGGAGCACCAGCAGCAGGUGGUGGGGGCAAUGGAACGAGCCAAGCAGGUGACCAUGGGGGAGCUGAACACCGCCAUCGGGGUGCGUAUACAG